rnacentral:rRNA from 1 species
AGCGCCUACGGGACGCAGCAGUGGGGGAUAUUGCACAAUGGGGGGAACCCUGAUGCAGCGACGCCGCGUGGGUGAAGGAGCGUUUCGGCGCGUAAAGCCCUAUCGGCAGGGAAGAAGAUGACGGUACCUGACCAAGAAGCCCCGGCUAACUACGUGCCAGCAGCCGUGGUAAUACGUAGGGGGCAAGCGUUAUCCGGAUUUACUGGGUGUAAAGGGGGCGCAGACGGCAA